CAAACUCUCAGUCAGGGCAGCUGGGAUUUAAUGUGACCAGUUUGUUGGAAAUUAGAGCUUCUGUUGGCAGCUACUGUUUCAGUGAGGAGUUACCGGUCUUGGUGAAGACUGUGGCUCCUGUUAGCAGCUGAAUAAUCUGGAAAAGCCUUGCCGGAGAAAGAACCAGACAUGAGUCAACUUUUCAUCUCUGUUAACCACCAACAUGCUGCAUUCAGGGACACGAGGAGUCAACCACUGUGCAGCCGCUGCAUUUCAAAUCUUUCAGUCACCAAGAAAAAGGCUACUGAGAAUCAUCUGGAGGAGGCUCAUGCCAGGUGGGUUUUCCAGCAGAGUCCUCCCCUACCUUGUCCUGCAUGGCUGUAAUGAGACACCCGGUUAGUAGAAAGAGAUUCAGCUGAGAGACAGAAGGCGCUCAGCAAUCUUCCACUGAGCCAAAG
ensembl:lncRNA